rnacentral:snoRNA from 1 species
CCUGCCCCUACAGGCAUUGCAGCUAUAGCUGUCAUGUCCCAGUUGUGUCAUGGGUGGUGGAGAGGAAGAGGCACCAUCUACUCUGAGUGCUCCUGGAUUGUGAACCCCCAGAAUACUGGCAGCUGCAGA